UAAUACGAAGGGACCUAGCGUAGUUCGGAAUUACUGGGCGUAAAGCGCGCGUAGGCCGUUGAGUUAGUUAAUUGUGAAAUCCCAAAGCUUAACUUUGGAACUGCAAUUAAAACUGCUCGACUAGAGUUUGAUAGAGGAAAGCGGAAUACAUAGUGUAGAGGUGAAAUUCGUAGAUAUUAUGUAGAACACCAGUUGCGAAGGCGGCUUUCUGGAUCAACACUGACGCUGAGGCGCGAAAGUAUGGGUAGCAAAGAGGAUUAGAUACCCUCGUAGUCCAUACCAUAAACGAUGAUUGCUAGAUGUUGGAAAUUUAUUUUCAGUAUCGCAGCUAACGCAUUAAGCAAUCCGCCUGGGGAGUACGACCGCAAGGUUAAAACUCAAAUGAAUUGACGGGGACCCGCACAAGCGGUGGAGCAUGUGGUUUAAUUCGAAGAUACGCGCAGAACCUUACCAACCCUUGACAUGUCUGUCGCGAGUUUAGGAAACUAGACUUUCGGUUCGGCCGGACAGAAC
rnacentral:rRNA from 1 species